rnacentral:rRNA from 1 species
UGAACCGGUNUCAUGGUGGCCCUAAAUGCAACGAGCUUUUUACAGCACGCAUCUAGUNGUUAGCAGGCCCGGUCUUAACCCUUAAUUUUUCAAGGUUGACCUCGGAUCAGGUAGGAAUACCCGCUGAACUUAAGCAUAUCAAUAAGCGGAGGAAAAGAAACCAACAGGGAUUACCCUAGUAACGGCGAGUGAAGCGGUAACAGCUCAAAUUUGAAAUCUGGCCUUCACGGGUCCGAGUUGUAAUUUGUAGAGGAUGUUUCGGACAAGGCUGUGGUUUAAGUUUCUUGGAACAGAACGUCAUAGAGGGUGAGAGUCCCGUCUAGAACCGAUAGCCGCGUCCAUGUGAAACUCCUUCGACGAGUCGAGUUGUUUGGGAAUGCAGCUCAAAAUGGGUGGUAAAUUUCAUCUAAAGCUAAAUAUUGGCCAGAGACCGAUAGCGCACAAGUAGAGUGAUCGAAAGAUGAAAAGCACUUUGAAAAGAGAGUUAAACAGUAUGUGAAAUUGUUGAAAGGGAAGCGCUUGCAACCAGACUUGCGUGUAACGGUUCCCCCGGUCUUCUGACUGGGCUAUUCUGUUAUAUCCAGGCCAGCAUCGGUUUGGGUGGUCGGUUAAAGGCCCUGGGAAUGUAUCUACCUUCGGGUCGACUUAUAGCUCAGGGCGUAAUGCGGCCUACCUGGACCGAGGAACGCGCUUUUGCUCGGAUGCUGGCGUAAUGGUUGUAAGCGGC